rnacentral:rRNA from 1 species
GCGGAAGGAUCAUUAUUGAAUAAACUUGAAGGCUGUUGCUGGCUCUUAGGAGUAAUGUGCACGUCUUCAUAUUUGUUUUCUUCCACCUGUGCACUAUUUGUAGACUUGGAUAAAAAAAAAAACUCUCGAGGCAACUCGGCUUGAAGAGUUGCUGCGUGCGCAAGUGCCAGCUCUCUUUGUCUUUUUCCAGUCUAUGUUUUUACAUUUUAUACCCCUAUAGUCUGUUAACAGAAUGUAAUCAAUGGGCUUUAUUGCCUAUAAAACAAAAUACAACUUUCAGCAACGGAUCUCUUGGCUCUCGCAUCGAUGAAGAACGCAGCGAAAUGCGAUAAGUAAUGUGAAUUGCAGAAUUCAGUGAAUCAUCGAAUCUUUGAACGCACCUUGCGCUCCUUGGUAUUCCGAGGAGCAUGCCUGUUUGAGUGUCAUUAAAUUCUCAACCUCUAUAGUUUUUUUAAAACUAGUAGAGUGCUUGGAUGUGGGAUCUGCUGGCUUUUCACAAGGUCAGCUCUCCUUAAAUGCAUUAGCGGAACCUUUGUGGACCGUCAAAUGGUGUGAUAAUUAUCUACGCUAUUGAUGUUAAGCAUUACUUUGGUAAAAAAAAGGAGGUUCAGCUUCUAAUCGUCUACU